UACGUAGGUGGCAAGCGUUGUUCGGAAUUACUGGGCGUAAAGGGCGCGUAGGCGGCCUUCUAAGUCGAACGUGAAAUCCCCGGGCUCAACCCGGGAACUGCGUCCGAUACUGGAAGGCUUGAAUCCGGGAGAGGGAUGCGGAAUUCCAGGUGUAGCGGUGAAAUGCGUAGAUAUCUGGAGGAACACCGGUGGCGAAGGCGGCAUCCUGGACCGGUAUUGACGCUGAGGCGCGAAAGCGUGGGGAGCAAACAGG
rnacentral:rRNA from 1 species